AUACGUAGGGGGCGAGCGUUGUCCGGAAUGAUUGGGCGUAAAGGGCGCGUAGGCGGCCCGGUAAGUCUGGAGUGAAAGUCCUGUUUUUAAGAUGGGAAUUGCUUUGGAUACUGUCGGGCUUGAGUGCAGGAGAGGUAAGUGGAAUCCCCAGUGUAGCGGUGAAAUGCGUAGAGAUUGGGAGGAACACCAGUGGCGAAGGCGAAUUACUGGACUGUAACUGACGCUGAGGCGCGAAAGGGUGGGGAGCAAACAGGAUUAGAUACCCUGGUAGUCCACACGGUAAACGAUGAAUGCUAGGUGUAGGGGGUAUCGACCCCUUCUGUGCCGCAGUCAACACAAUAAGCAUUCCGCCUGGGGAGUACGGCCGCAAGGUUGAAACUCAAAGGAAUUGACGGGG
rnacentral:rRNA from 1 species